AGAGUUUGAUCCUGGCUCAGAUUGAACGCUGGCGGAAUGCUUUACACAUGCAAGUCGAACGGCAGCACGGGAGCUUGCUCCUGGUGGCGAGUGGCGAACGGGUGAGUAACAUAUCGGAACAUAUCCUAUCGUGGGGGAUAACUAGUCGAAAGACUAGCUAAUACCGCAUACGUCCUGAGGGAGAAAGCGGGGGCUCGCAAGACCUCGCGCGAUUGGAGUGGCCGAUAUCUGAUUAGCUAGAUGGUGAGGUAAGAGCUCACCAUGGCGGCGAUCAGUAGCUGGUCUGAGAGGAUGAUCAGCCACACUGGGACUGAGACACGGCCCAGACUCCUACGGGAGGCAGCAGUGGGGAAUUUUGGACAAUGGGCGAAAGCCUGAUCCAGCCAUUCCGCGUGAGUGAAGAAGGCCUUCGGG
rnacentral:rRNA from 1 species